CCACCUCUUGGAAGUUCUACCCAAAACGCCUCAACAGCAGUGCAGCCACCUCCUGGGCUUUGUCAGCCUAAUGGUAUACGUGCAGUUUGGCCACCUCCUCCUGGAUUCUCUACAGCAGCAGCCUCAUCUGCACUGCAAGCACCUCAAGUCUGUUCCAUCUUAGACUGUUCAGCUUCAGUGCGAACACCUGCUGGGUUUCCCAUCCCAGGUAAUCCACCUGCAGUGCGAACACCUGCUGGGUUUUCUUACCCAGAUGGAUCACGGUCAGUGAGACCACCUCCUCAUCUCUCUCCGCUGACGCUGAGUCCGCCUGCUGAGGUUUCCGUCUCUGACGUCUCAGAUGGUCUGCAGCCCCCCUCACGUCCUCUUCCUGAGUGUGAAGCACGCUCACAAGCUCCAGGAGGGGAAGUGGUAGAUGAGGCUGAAGCCUGUGACAGAGUCAGCCACAUUUGUGACCACAACAAAUCACAGACAGUCACAUCUAAUGAUCCAAAGGAUGUGCAGAAAGAAGCACAUCCACUAUCUGAGAGAGUCAAGACCAGCAGAAAAAGGGGGCUGAAAGGUUUUCUUCAAAAAAUAAAGAAGGCUUUGACAUGCUGUGCAACCACCAGUGAUGCAGA